CACGUAGGGCGCAAGCGUUGUCCGGAAUUAUUGGGCGUAAAGAGCUCGUAGGCGGUCUGUUGCGUCUGCUGUGAAAACCCGGGGCUUAACCCCUGGCUUGCAGUGGAUACGGACAGACUAGAGGUAGGUAGGGGAGAAUGGAAUUCCCGGUGUAGCGGUGAAAUGCGCAGAUAUCGGGAGGAACACCGGUGGCGAAGGCGGUUCUCUGGGAAUGUCCUGACGCUGAGGAGCGAAAGCGUGGGGAGCGAACAGG
rnacentral:rRNA from 1 species